rnacentral:rRNA from 2 species
GAAAUGCGAUGUGUGGAACUAAGCGUGCGACAAGUAGGGCGGGACACGAGAAAUCCUGUCUGAAUAUGGGGGGACCAUCCUCCAAGGCUAAAUACUCGUAAUCGACCGAUAGUGAACCAGUACCGUGAGGGAAAGGCGAAAAGAACCCCGGGAGGGGAGUGAAAUAGAUCCUGAAACCGUGUGCAUACAAACAGUAGGAGCGGACUUGUUCCGUGACUGCGUACCUUUUGUAUAAUGGGUCAGCGACUUACAUUCAGUGGCAAGGUUAACCAUAUAGGGAAGCCGUAGAGAAAUCGAGUCCGAACAGGGCGAUAGUCGCUGGGUGUAGACCCGAAACCAAGUGAUCUACUCAUGGCCAGGAUGAAGGUGCGGUAACACGCACUGGAGGUCCGAACCCACUAAUGUUGAAAAAUUAGGGGAUGAGCUGUGGGUAGGGGUGAAAGGCUAAACAAACUUGGAAAUAGCUGGUUCUCUCCGAAAACUAUUUAGGUAGUGCCUCAAGUAUCACCAUCGGGGGUAGAGCACUGUUAUGGCUAGGGGGUCAUCGCGACUUACCAAACCAUUGCAAACUCCGAAUACCGAUGAGUGCGAGCUUGGGAGACAGACGUCGGGUGCUAACGUCCGGCGUCAAGAGGGAAACAACCCAGACCGCCAGCUAAGGUCCCAAAGAUUGGCUAAGUGGAAAACGAAGUGGGAAGGCUAAAACAGUCAGGAUGUUGGCUUAGAAGCAGCCAUCAUUUAAAGAAAGCGUAAUAGCUCACUGAUCGAGUCGUCCUGCGCGGAAGAUGUAACGGGGCUAAGCCAGUCACCGAAGCUGCGGAUAUGCG